UGGGGGAAACCCUGAUGGUGCGACGCCGCGUGGGGGAUAAGGUCUUCGGAUUGUAAACCCCUGUCAUGUGGGACAUUAAAAAGAUAGUACCACAAGAGGAAGAGACGGCUAACUCUGUGCCAGCAGCCGCGGUAAUACAGAGGUCUCAAGCGUUGUUCGGAAUCACUGGGCGUAAAGCGUGCGUAGGCUGUUUCGUAGGUCGUGUGUGAAAGGCGCGGGCUCAACCCGCGGACGGCACAUGAUACUGCGAGACUAGAGUAAUGGAGGGGGAACCGGAAUUCUCGGUGUAGCAGUGAAAUGCGUAG
rnacentral:rRNA from 1 species